rnacentral:rRNA from 1 species
UACAGAGGGUGCGAGCGUUGUCCGGAAUCACUGGGCGUAAAGGGCGCGUAGGUGGCGAGCCAAGUCCAUGGUGAAAGCUCGAUGCUCAACAUCGAGUCGGCCACGGAUACUGGUGCGCUGGAGCACUGUAGAGGCUCAUGGAAUUCCGGGUGUAGCGGUGGAAUGCGUAGAGAUCCGGAAGAACACCGGUGGCGGAGGCGGUGAGCUGGGCAGUUGCUGACACUGAGGCGCGACAGCGUGGGGAGCAAACAGG